UACGAAGGGGGCUAGCGUUGCUCGGAAUUACUGGGCGUAAAGCGCACGUAGGCGGCUUCUUAAGUCAGGGGUGAAAUCCUGGAGCUCAACUCCAGAACUGCCUUUGAUACUGGAAAGCUCGAGUCCGGGAGAGGUGAGUGGAACUGCGAGUGUAGAGGUGAAAUUCGUAGAUAUUCGCAAGAACACCAGUGGCGAAGGCGGCUCACUGGCCCGGUACUGACGCUGAGGUGCGAAAGCGUGGGGGAGCAAACAGGG
rnacentral:rRNA from 1 species